GAUGAACGCUGGCGGCGUGCCUAAUACAUGCAAGUCGAGCGAACAGACGAGGAGCUUGCUCCUCUGACGUUAGCGGCGGACGGGUGAGUAACACGUGGAUAACCUACCUAUAAGACUGGGAUAACUUCGGGAAACCGGAGCUAAUACCGGAUAAUAUAUUGAACCGCAUGGUUCAAUAGUGAAAGACGGUUUUGCUGUCACUUAUAGAUGGAUCCGCGCCGCAUUAGCUAGUUGGUAAGGUAACGGCUUACCAAGGCAACGAUGCGUAGCCGACCUGAGAGGGUGAACGCCCACACUAGAACUGAGACACGGUCCAGACUCCUACGGGAGGCAGCAGUAGGGAAUCUUCCGCAAUGGGCGAAAGCCUGACGGAGCAACGCCGCGUGAGUGAUGAAGGUCUUCGGAUCGUAAAACUCUGUUAUUAGGGAAGAACAAAUGUGUAAGUAACUAUGCACGUCUUGACGGUACCUAAUCAGAAAGCCACGGCUAACUACGUG
rnacentral:rRNA from 1 species